ensembl:snRNA U4 U4 spliceosomal RNA
AGCUUUGCGCAGUGGCAGUAUCAUAGCCAAUGAGGUUUAUCUGAGGCACGAUUAUUAUUGCUAACAAAGUAUUUGUUCACU